CAUCGUCCGAGUAUUCACUGCAGUUCCGUCUUGUAUGUACAGUACAGUACAUAUCAUCGUCCGAGUAUUCACUGCAUUCCGUCUUGUAUGUACAGUACAGUACAUAUCAUCGUCCGAGUAUUCACUGCAGUUUCGUCUUGAAU